ensembl:lncRNA
ACAACAUCCAGGCUCUAUUUACAGUCGCCGCCGGACGGCAAGGGACCCACGCCAGCUGCCUGGAAGCAGGCGGGGGUGGGGGAAAAGCGAGUGCGCAACAUUUACACACACCCGCCCCGCCCCUCCGCGCCACUGCCCCGCCAGGGGGCCGGAGCGGGACACCGGGGGUCUCCCCGCGCCCUCGUUCAACCUGCGCCGGUCUUGACACCCCAGCAAGAGCCAGAGGUGUACUGCUUUAACAAGCUAACCAGAGAGACUUCAGGAGAAGUCAAAGGGAUCCUGCUUGUUGAACUGUGUUUUAGAUUUAAAGCACCAGUUGAGUACUUUAAAGUGUGUGUAUGUGUGUGUGCUGGGAAAUUUGGGGUUUUCACUUUGAAGUACAAAAGUAAUGCCAACUUGAGGCAACAAAUCAAACAGUACCACUGUGUAAAAGAGUCAACAAUAUCCCCUUCUGCUGAAUCUGCCUUUCCCCCACCUCCCAUCAUAACAAAUAUGAACAUUUUGGUACAUAUCUCUUCAUAUCCUUAUCUAUGCAUAUUAUACACACACACUUAUCUGUAUACAAGUAGUUGAAAAAGUGUUAGUCGCUCAGUUGUGUCUGAGUCUUUUCGACCCUAUGGACUGUAGCCCAUGGAAUUCUCCAGGCAAGACUACUGGGGUGAGUAGUUAGUCCCAGCCCAGGGAUCAAACUUGGGUCUCCUGCAUUGCAGGCAGAUUCUGUACUGUCUGAGCCACCAGGGAAUCUUAUGUAUGUAUGUAUGUCUAUAUAUAAAUAUAUAUCCACAUAUUUAGGGAUUUUUGUCAUAUUCUUUCAAAAUGGGACUUAUAAACUCAUAAAAAUCACUUGUUUAUUCUUACCUCUAUUUCAUUCAAACCCCUCCAGGAAAUACAUAUAGACUUAAUGUUAUUUUUAUACAUAAUAUCCAUAGUUUGGAUAAACCAUAUUUUAUUUAUAUAUUCUCCUAUAAUAAAUGCCCAAGUGGUUUCUAGUGUUUUUGUCUUGUGCCACUUCAAAUAACAUUUUGUGUAAAAUAUUCAUAUAUCUAUCUUCUUACUUAUUCAUACUUUAAGUAGAAGAGACUUUGAAUUUCUGGGUUCACCUGAGGAUUUUAGAUAUUACUAGACAGAAGGAUUCAGUGCCUAGCAAAACACAUAGCCCUUUGGCGACAGCUUUUUCCUCUUUGUUGGGAAAGAAGCCUGGAAAAAUAAUGUCCCUUUCUCUUCCUUCCCCACACCAUUAUUCUCCUGCAGUAGAAUGGGCAGGGAUAAUAUGUCCUUUGUAAUUCAGCAAGGAAUAAGAAUUACCCAUUUGCAGGGCUAUUAGAGGAUACAAGAGAAGCCCAAAUUAAACAACCGCAUAUUCCUCCAGUAAGUCUUUUGUUCCUUUUUUCUCCUUCAUGAAAAGGCAGAGCAUAUGAAAGAGGAGGCAGGGAAAGAUUGUGCAUUUCUGGGCUUUAAUAGGCAAAUAGUUAAAUGAUGGCACCUGCAAAACCAUUGGCUUAUUCCUCGUUCAGGGUCUGAAUAUGUCUUUCUUCUCUUUGCAGACCAGAGGAGAGAGGGAGUGAGAUGAAUGAGAUGAAUCACAAUCAAAGUCCUCUUUCACUAUUAUUUUUGAAUUUUCUCAUCUCAGACACAUCAGAGCUCAAGGUUGGAAGGGGCUUUAGGUCAUCUGCUCUGUUCUUCCCAUUGUAUGUGGGCUCAUCUUUUCCUAGUUUCUGCAUUUCUCCUUAACACAAUUGUGUUAUUUCUUUCUUCCUCCCUUGGCCCUUCAACAGUAUACUUACUGAAAGCUUCCUGUGGGCUAGACCCCAAGCUAGGCUCUGGGGACAAAGAGGAAAGACACUGACCCUGGCUUCAAAGAGCUCACAAAUAAGGAGAAGAAAAACCAGUAGGCUUAAAACUGUAAAGGAAUGACAGAGAUAGGUGCAAGUAGGGCAACACAGAACACAGAGGAGAAGCACUUAGCAUAGCUGUAAUAGCUCGGAAAAUGGGCAGUGACAAGAGGUUGGUAAGCUUAAGUUUAUGGAAUAGAAGUUUGCCAGUGUAAGCAGAUAGGAAUGACAUUCUUGACGUAAGAGAAUAAAUUUUGACCUAAGAUAUUUGGUGAUCUAAGCCUAACCUUAAUGCUUACUCUUGAACAGGUCUCAGUAAUCAAAGAUCUUAAGGGAACAAAGGCAUGCAGGAACAGAGAAAAGGCAGUCAAACAAUGCAAUGAUAAAGCAGAGUCCUGGAAACUGCCUGGCAGUCUAGUGGUUAAGACUCUGUGCUUUCAAUGCAGGGGUUGUGUGUUCAAUCCCUGAUGAGGGAAUUAAGAUCCCACAUGUGGCAUGGCCAAAAAAAGAAAAAGCAGAGUCCUAGUUUCUCCUUAAGGAAGGGCUAUACAUAAUAAUAUAUCUUUGAGUUCUGCAGGAACUAAGACCCCCACCCAGAUGGAGGAGGAAAUGAUGACGUUGACUCUCUUAACUUCAAUCAACUAAAGACUUGGACUUUGUGGACGUUUGCCCCAGUUCUAUGCUGACCUUUCCUCUGCUCAAGUCCCUUAAUAUGCAUGUACCUUUAGCUUAAAACUUCCCCAGUUCUGCUGUGUGGGGAGACACUCCUUUGGGAAAGAUCCCUGGUGUUCACCUUACUUGCUGUAAGUAAUAAUAAAUUCUUCCUUGUAAUAAUAAAGCCUUCCCUGGUGGUCCGGUGGUUAAGAAUCUGCCUGCCAACGCAGGGGACAUGGGUUUGAUUCCUGGUCUGGGGAGAUUGCACAUGCUGUGGAGCAACUAAAGCCUGUGCACCACAACUACUGGGCUUACACUCUAAAGCCCACGCUCCGCAGAAAGAGAAGUCACAGCAAUGAGAAGCCCUCACACCAGAAUUAGAGAGUAGCCCCUGUUCCCCCAAACUAGAGAAAGCCUGAGUGUGGCAACAAAGACACAGGAAAGCCAAAAAUAAAUUUAAAAAUAUAAACAGAUAAAUCUUUGAGGGAAAAAUUCCUUCCUUUUCUGGAUAUUUGGCUUGGUUGUUUCCAUUGGCUUGACACCCACCAAGAGGCCAACCCAGUUUCCGGGUUCAAGAAAAGAAAGAUAUACAUCUCACCCAUCUCAGUUUACUUUGGUGCUUUACAAUGGGAUGUGAAAAUAUCCAAGCAAAGGGGCAGUUUAAAAUAUCGGUGAAGGUGACUCUACCUACUGGGUAUCACUUCCUUUUCAAAUCAGAUGAUUUCUAAUAUUGGUUUUCAGCAAAACUGAAGGAGAACCUAAUCAAGUUGAUAGUCAAUAGGUCAUUAACAUUUUUUGAUGAAAUGUAACUAUGUGAUUCUUGAUAUGAAACCAAGCAGGACCCUGUGGGGUUCUCCUGGGUACAAAUAUUUUCCAUGGCCCCCAUUUCUUGUUUGUAGGAAAGAGGCUUCAUUCAGACUCC